CCAGACGGUUGGAUGACCGCUAUAUUUAACCAUAUAAAUAUAGAGGAAAGUCCGGGCUCCACGGAAGCACGGUGCCGGGUAACUCCCGGCGGGGGCAACCCCAGGGAAAGUGCCACAGAAAGAAAACCGCCUCAUUUAUGAGGUAAGGGUGAAAGGGUGCGGUAAGAGCGCACCGCGCAGGCGGUAACGUCGGCGGCAAGGUAAACCCCACCGGGAGCAAGACCAAAUAGGGAUGACAUGCUUAUCAAUUUAUUGACGAGCAGGCAUGUUUUCGUGCUGUUAUCCGGGUCGGUCGCAAGAGGCGUGCAGCGAUGGGCGUCCCAGAUGAAUGGUCAUCACCUGCCAGCUUGCUGGCAGCGUACAGAACCCGGCUUAUAGACCGUCUGGCACC
rnacentral:RNase_P_RNA from 1 species